AUUGAACGCUGGCGGCAUGCCUUACACACGCAAGUCGAACGGCAGCACGGAGCUUGCUCUGGUGGCGAGUGGCGAACGGGUGAGUAAUAUAUCGGAACGUACCCAAGAGUGGGGGAUAACGUAGCGAAAGUUACGCUAAUACCGCAUACGACCUAAGGAUGAAAGCAGGGGAUAUUCGGACAUUGUCCUCCUGGAGCGGCCGAUACCUGAUGAGCUCGUUGGUGGGGUAAAGGCCCACCAAGGCAACGACCAGUAGCUGGUCUGAGAGGAGCGACCAGCCACACUGGAACUUAGACACGGUCCAGACUCCUACGGGAGGCAGCAGUGGGGAAUUUUGGACAAUGGGGGCAACCCUGAUCCAGCAAUGCCGCGUGAGUGAAGAAGGCCUUCGGGUUGUAAAGCUCUUUUGUCAGGGAAGAAAAGGUUCGGGCUAAUAUCCCGGGUUCAUGACGGUACCUGAAGAAUAAGCACCGGCUAACUACGUGCCAGCAGCCGCCGCCGUAA
rnacentral:rRNA from 1 species